GCCGCCCGCACUGGGCAAAUCAAGAAUCCGACUUCUUCGCAACGGAGCCAGGUUCGCGACUCUCCGAGAGAGAUAAAAGGAAGAAGAGAGGGACGGUGGCACUGUCAGAUGAAACCCUAGCACACUACGGGGAGGAACACAACUUCUUCUUGAUCGAUCCGACCUUCGCGACCCCAUGGGAUCGGCCUGCUGUUAAGAGCAAAACCUGCAAAUUACCCACCAACAGAGGAGUCAGGCAUUGCUGCGGCGUUCUUUGGUUUGCUGGGUUUCCUUGUUCAUGCCUCCUGGUUUCUUCCAAAUCUCCAAGAGCAACCAUGUCACUCACAUAUAGCGACUCAACGGAUGGGGCUCAAAGGUUGAAUAUUGAAAAUGGCCAUUGUUCUCCACAUCCAGGUCUACUCAAAUAUAGAAGACGUAAAGUUUUUGUUGUUCGGGAUUUCCCUCCUGGCUGUGGUCGUAGUGUUCUACAAAAUAACUCAAUCCCCAUAAAAGUUGCGACAGGCGAUGCGAUUGAUAAUUCUCACUCAAGGUAUAAUGGUGUGUUGGGAAGCGUGGAGAUGCCUGAAACAAAUACUACAUUAGAAUUGACUACAAAAAAAUCCAAUAUUUUUGGUCUAAAGGAUGGCCAUAGUACGAUGAAUGUUGAAUCAUUGUUGAUUGAUAAUUUGGAAGGCAGAGAUGGAGCCACUGAAAAUAUAAUAAAUAAUGUAGGAGACGACGAUUCAUUGAAGAAUUUGCAUGAAGUGGUUGUUUCAUCUAGAAAAGAUGAGACAGUUGAGCCCAGUAAUUUGAGACCAUGCUCACCAACCGAUUACUUCUUAUUUGUUUCUAAUGGCAAGGACGUGAAGAAGACUGUGGUUAGAAGAUACCCUCCGAGAAGAAAAGUUUCGGCUAUUAGAGAUUUCCCUCCCUUUUGUGGACAAAAUGCCCCUCCUUUAUCCAAGGAGGUGUGCUCCUCAAUGCUUACCUCUCAAAAUAUUUAUGCUGUAGAUAGAGAUAAUUUCGGGCUUCAUUGUAAGUCAUCAAAUUUGGGUAAAGAUGCAGAAUAUGUGGUAGAUAAUGUUCACAAAGUAGAACACAAUAUCGAAUUAAUUUCUGAGAGUAGACUAAAUGAAGCAAAAGAAGGUUUGGAGGAAAAACUGGGGAAGGAAAUUGUGGUUUACACGGGAGAUACGACUACAAAAGAAAAAAUUUCAGAUAUGCCCUCUCGUCAGAAGAUAUUAGAAAUUGAACCUUUUGAGCAAGCCCUUGCAUCUGAAAGGGUUGUCGUGCAAGGUCUUAUGGCUGCACCUAAUUGUCCUUGGAGGCAGGGGAAAUCUAACUACAAGCCCUCCCUAGGAGGUGGUUCAAGUGAAAGGAAAGUGAAGAAACGUGACCAUGGUCUUUCAGAGAAAUCAGAAUCUAUUUUAAGAAAGGAAGAUGUAAAAGAGUGUCAUAAAAAAUCUUCAAAGAAGAAAUCAAUUGUAAAUAGGGACGCUGGUAAUGGGGAAAUGCGCCAGCUAGUUAUUACGGGUGGCACGGAUAUAGGUGCCAGUGACAAUGAAAAUAUCGAUUUUCAUGUGAAUCAUAGAUCCUAUAAUACUGAUGUGAGUCUCAUUCCAUUUUCUCAAACUAAUGAAAACGGAAAUGAUCACGGUAGUGAUUCUAAAGGUACUAGGACUGUAGUAAGAGAGACAUUGCGACUUUUUCAAGCGGUAUGUAGGAAGCUCUUGCAGGAAGAAGAAGCAGGGAAAAAGGACCAAGGAAAUGCAUCCAGGAGGAUUGAUUUUAUAGCCGCAAAAAUUCUCAAGGACAAAGGGAAAUAUGUUAACGUGGGUAAACAAAUCCUAGGUUCGGUCCCUGGAGUUGAAGUUGGAGAUGAAUUCCGAUAUAGGAUAGAACUUAAUAUCAUAGGACUUCAUCGCCAAACUCAGGGUGGCAUAGAUUAUGUGAAGCAUGGUCAAAAGAUCAUUGCUACUAGUAUUGUUGCAUCUGGGGGAUACACAAAUAACCUCGAUAACUCAGAUGUAUUGAUUUACACAGGCCAAGGAGGAAAUGUGAUGAAUUCAGACAAGAAACCUGAAGAUCAAAAGUUGGAACGAGGAAACCUUGCAUUGAAGAAUAGUUUUGAUGACAAGAGUCCUGUUAGAGUGAUUCGCGGCUCUGAGUCAUCUGAUGGAAGAACAUAUGUCUAUGAUGGGCUAUAUUUGGUGGAGAAAUGGUGGCAAGAUAUGGGUCCUCAUGGUAAGCUGAUUUUCAAGUUUCAAUUGUAUCGAAUUCCAGGUCAACCUGAACUUGCUUGGAACGUACUAAAGAAGUCAAAAAAAUUCAAAGUAAGAGAAGGUCUUUGUGUGGAUGAUAUUUCUCAAGGGAAAGAAUCAAUUCGUAUUUGUGCAGUGAACAUCAUAGAUGAUGAGAAGCCACCGCCAUUUAAUUACAUCACAAAAAUGAUAUAUCCUGAUUGGUGCUGCCCAAUUCCUCUCAAGGGUUGUGAUUGUACUAAUGGGUGCUCAGAUUCUGACAGAUGUUAUUGUGCCGUCUUGAAUGGAGGAGAGAUUCCAUUUAAUCAUAAUGGGGCUAUUGUUGAAGCGAAGUCUCUUGUCUAUGAGUGUGGUCCUUCGUGCAAGUGUCUUCCUUCUUGUCAUAAUCGAGUUAGUCAGCAUGGUAUCAAAUUUCAACUAGAAAUUUUUAAAACCAAAUCUAGGGGAUGGGGUGUGAGAUCCCUAAAUUCAAUUCCCUCAGGAAGCUUUAUUUGUGAAUACAUAGGUGAGCUUCUCGAGGAUAAGGAAGCAGAACAAAGAACUGGUAAUGAUGAGUAUUUGUUUGAUAUUGGGAAUAACUACAGUGACAAUUCUCUUUGGGAUGGACUUUCAACCCUCUUGCCUGAUGCACAGUCGAAUGCUAGUGAUAUUGUGGAGGAUGGUAGUUAUACCAUUGAUGCGGCAAAUUAUGGUAAUAUUGGGAGAUUUAUCAACCACAGUUGUUCACCCAAUCUUUAUGCCCAAAAUGUCCUUUAUGAUCAUGAGGAUAAGAGAAUUCCGCAUAUUAUGUUCUUUGCGGCCGAGAAUAUUCCUCCUCUACAAGAGCUGUCUUACCAUUACAAUUAUAUGAUGGAUCAGGUUCGUGAUUCUGAUGGAAACAUUAAAAAGAAGAGAUGUCAUUGUGGUUCCACAGAAUGUACUGGUUGGAUGUAUUGAGUUGGACCUAGAAGUUUCAAUCAGGAGGCUAUAUGUUUCAUCUUGUAACAUUUUUCAGGUAUCAACAUUUUUUAGGUAUCAAAUAGACAAUGAAAAUAGAACUAUGAAGGAGAAUUUUGAAUGGGGCAAGAGUUAUCUCUACAGCCGUGAAAUAUGGAAGAUUGACAUGGCCUCUUCUCUGCUUGGGCUUUUAUCAUCUGAAGGCAGACCGUAGGUGUUGCCAAGGCAAAGAUUUGUGGUCCAUCUUAUAUGACAUAAAUUUUCCUCCAAAACUCCGGGAAUGCAAACAAACAAAGAUGAAUGUUAACCCCUUAAGCAUAUGGCAUCUGGAGAAUAUAUGUAGCAUGUGACCAUAUGGUAACUGCUCAUUGUUUCUGGUAUUUUCAUCAUACUCCAUGCUGGUGAUUACAUCAGGAAAUAUGCCUUUGAGAAAAACCGAACUUGCAAUAGGUACCUGCAUAUGAUGGGGAUGUGUAAUAUCAUCUCCCAUGACGUGUAAUAUCAUCUCCCAUGACUCUUCCUUUUCAUCUAUCAUGAAAAGUUUGUUUUUUGUUAAAAAAAAAGGUAAUUAUUGGACAUCCUGCUUUUUAUUCUGAGUAGCUGUGGCUUCAUGUCGAGAUGUCUUGUGGCAAGAGUUGCCAACUUGCUAGGGAAGUUGCAGCAAAAAUUGAGCAAAUUCAAGCACUUUGCUGCCCAGUGCCCUCAAGUACUUUCAGAGGCAAUGCAUACUGAAAUGAAGGCGUUGCUUGACUGACACAAGAGGCAUAUGCUGUGAUGGAAUGAGAGAGCAGUGCUCGCUGCUCUGGUUUGCUUGAGGAUGUGUCUGCCUCAUAUGUGGUGUUUUAGUGUCAAAAUUACACAGGUUUUCAUUGCCAUGUAACAAUUUUCAAGUUGCAAAUUAUGAGGUGUUUUUUUUGUACACUGGAAAUUUUGGUAAGGAUUUUGAGCUUGAUCAUGUAGAUAUUUUGGCAUUUUUAAGAGAAAUUGAAAGUGGGAAUGGGAAUGUUGAUGAGGUUCUUUUUCUUUGUAACUUUUCUGGUGCAAAUUGUGACAGUUAAACAUCCUGGUAAUCUGUUUCACUGUUUUA